rnacentral:rRNA from 1 species
GACGAACCGAGCGAACGUUGUUCGGAAUCACUGGGCUUAAAGGGCGCGUAGGCGGCUUGUCAAGUCAGGGGUGAAAUCUUUCGGCUCAACCGGAAAAGUGCCCUUGAUACUGAUAGGCUCGAGGGAGGUAGGGGCAUGUGGAACUUCUGGUGGAGCGGUGAAAUGCGUUGAUAUCAGAAGGAACGCCGGUGGCGAAAGCGACGUGCUGGACCUUUUCUGACGCUGAGGCGCGAAAGCUAGGGGAGCAAACGGG